CGCCCCGUCCCGCACGGCCGUACACCGCUCCCUCGGGAGCGCGCGGCGCUGGGACCGCAGCCCGCGGUCCUUAAUAAACAGCCGAGCGACGGUGCGGAACGUGCUGCGUUCUUCUGGAGCGCGUUCCCGUCUCCUGACGCGCUCGGACGCCGAGGCGAUCCGCGGCCGAGGAGAGUCCCGUCGGUAGCGGACGUUGUAUGGUUCGGCCGUGCCGUCCCGGCUGAGCCGAGCGGGGCGGUGUCACUGCGGCCUCCCCCGGGGCUGCUGCCCAUGCACCCAAACGUGCUCGCAGUGACCUCGCGAAGGAGUCCUGAAGUGUGCGGGCAGGAAGAGGGCAACUGGGAAAUCGUGAGAGCCCUUACGGCUGCUGGGUGCCUCAGGGCGGCGUUGGGAAGAACGCGGCGUGAGUUUUCUUCCAGGUGGCCGGGUUCUUUGUGACUGCUCUGUCUUCUCAUCCUUCUUCAGAAGGGGCUCGGAUCACCCACGCUACUGAUGCAGCUUCAUCUCCCAGACGAGAUGCACCAUCAGCCAUUUCCAGCACACCAUAAGAGCCCCGUGGCUCCCACGGCCUCCUUGGGCAACCUGUGUUCACCGCACGGCUUCUGUGGGAAGAUCCAUACGGAUAAGGGAGCAUGGGAAGGACCUCAGAG
rnacentral:lncRNA from 1 species